CCACUGGAGAUGGUUAUUGGUCAAGCAGGCAAGCUCCCUCAAGACUGAAAAAGGCGUCCUGCCAGACAAUUACAGUCGUUAGUCGCUAGGCAACAUUACCCCCAUGAUACUAACUUUGCAAGUGUAUAAAAUAAACAUCCCUACUGUUGAAGUCAGUCCUCUUGCUCAUCAGGCAAGAGGUACCUCCACCUGACCCCAGCUCUUGUCUCUUGUCUUUAUUUUUCUCAUACCCACCGCCGUUUCUCUCCAGGGUACAACGAGAGACCAACGAUGUUCCCUACAAGCAUCUUUGAAGCCACAUGUUGUCAUUUAUCAACAAACAAGUUGAAUUAUUAUAUCUGGAAUUCCCAAGGUUGGGGCUGUAGAGAAGGCCUUUUUAAUGUCAUUGAAGGCUUUUCUUGUUCUGUGUUCAAAGUCAAAAAGUGUCAGAGUCUUUUCCAGUCAUGGAAUAAUAUAGGAAUCUUGCUUUUUGUGAACCGAAGGUUCCAGAUUUUGCAGAAGCCAGCAGCUCCAAAGAAUUUGCAGAGUUUGACCGGGAUGGAGCAGAGACCAGUGGGCUGCUAGCAUCAACCAGGAGCCUCUGAUCCAAGCCUAGGAGAGGACUCUGAGCAAGUUUUGAGAGCAGGCCCUCCUCUUGAGGAAACUGCAUAAAGGUUGCUCUUCCACAUGCUGGACCCUAGGCUGUGGCCUAAGUGGCCAGUUAUGCCAUUCCUGGUCAAGGAACCAAAAUUUUGCAGCAAAACUGGAACCACGAAAGGAGCGAUACCAGAGAAGGCUUGGAGACUGUGAACAGCUUUAUUUACACUGGUGGACCUGAUCAGCAUUACUCACAAAGACUCAGGGCAGGAGGAUUUUAUGGGGUUGCAAAGGGAAGUACAGAGGACGAAGGACUUGUCAGUUGGGCAUUGGUACUUACAAUGCACAUCAUAAUGACCAACCAUGCAUCACAGUGACCAGCCACUUCUGGGAAACAAGUAGCAGAAAUUGUCACAGCAACUGAAAUAAGGUGGAAGCUGCCUGGACAACAGAGACUAAAGUAUCCUGGCGGGGAGCCCAUUUUCUUCUAUUCCUUGUGUUGUAACUGUUAGCCUUGCUUGAGUCGUAAACAGUGUAAAUUGUAUAGUGCUGGCUUUGUGUUAGGAAAUGUACAGAUUGUAUCCUUUUUCUGGGUGGUCAGCUUUUAGGCAUGCCUAGAUGGAUUGAUCUGGGGCAUUGCUCUAGCAGUUGAUGAAAAAGAUUCCAGAGAAACAGCUAAUAUGAAAGGCCCCUUAAUAUCUCCGAGGAAGUUAACACAAAUGCACAAUAUGAUUUAAAAUAUCAGUAACACAACUGCACAAAGGGAUUUAAAAUGCCAUAAAGGAAGUGACUUUUCAAGU
rnacentral:lncRNA from 1 species